GCAAUGAUGACCUGUUGUGGCUUUGAGCAGUCGUGAAAAUACACCGCCAAUUCCUCUAAGAAGUUCUGAGCUC